rnacentral:misc_RNA from 1 species
AUAAAUGCUUAGUUGAGUUGAGUAGUUUAUAGAAAGUGUUAAAUUUUUGAGAGAGUGUUGGGCAUUAAGUAUUAGUUCAUUCUUACACAUGCAUGGCUUAAAACUAACUUUUGGGUUAGAAUUAAGCUCAAUCUAUUUUCUCUACAUGCUAUCGAAAUUAGCCCCAUCUUGCGAGAUUCGACAUUGAAAGUGUUGGCCCAUGAAGCGGUGGCUCACAGAAUGGUGGCCUAUGCCCAUUGUGUAAGGACAGGUAGUACAAUGUGUAAGGCACUAGCCGUGGUCAACGUGAUCAUAACCAACUUAGUCGUGACCAAUGAGGAUGUUGGUUCUCCAAGCCUGGGGUACUUUUAUGAUCCCAUAUUGCUAAGAAAUAA